UACGUAGGGGGCAAGCGUUGUCCGGAAUCAUUGGGCGUAAAGCGCGCGUAGGCGGCCCGGUAAGUCCGCUGUGAAAGUCCAGGGCUCAACCCUGGAAAGCCAGUGGAUACUGCCGGGCUAGAGUCCGGGAGAGGCGAGUGGAAUUCCUGGUGUAGCGGUGGAAUGCGCAGAUAUCAGGAGGAACACCAACGGCGAAGGCAGCUCGCUGGAACGGUACUGACGCUGAGGUGCGAAAGCGUGGGGAGCAAACAGG
rnacentral:rRNA from 1 species